rfam:Lactobacillus sp. ASF360 genomic scaffold acMPL-supercont1.4, whole genome shotgun sequence.
UAAGCGCGAUGAUGAUGGCAAUUUUGCUUAGUCUAGCUUAGAUGAUGAAAAUCAUC